rnacentral:rRNA from 1 species
GACGAAGGAUGCAAGCGUUAUCCGGAUUCAUUGGGUUUAAAGGGAGCGUAGGUGGCCUUAUAAGUCAGUGGUGAAAUCUCUCGGCUUAACCGAGAAAUUGCCAUUGAUACUGUAGGGCUUUGAGUAUAGUUCCGUUGGCGGAAUAUGACAUGUAGUGGUGAAAUACAUAGAGAUGUCAUAGAACACCGAUUGCGAAGGCAGCUAACGAAACUAUAACUGACACUGAAAGCUCGAAAGUGCGGGGAUCAAACAGG